UAAUACCGCAUACGAUCUGUGGAUGAAAGCGGGGGAUCCUUCGGGACCUCGCGCUACAGGGGCGGCCGAUGGCAGAUUAGCUAGUUGGUGGGGUAAAGGCCUACCAAGGCGACGAUCUGUAGCUGGUCUGAGAGGACGACCAGCCACACUGGGACUGAGACACGGCCCAGACUCCUACGGGAGGCAGCAGUGGGGAAUUUUGGACAAUGGGCGAAAGCCUGAUCCAGCAAUGCCGCGUGUGUGAAGAAGGCCUUCGGGUUGUAAAGCACUUUUGUCCGGAAAGAAAACCUCGUGGUUAAUACCCGUGGGGGAUGACGGUACCGGAAGAAUAAGCACCGGCUAACUACGUGCCAGCAGCCGCGGUAAUACGUAGGGUGCAAGCGUUAAUCGGAAUUACUGGGCGUAAAGCGUGCGCAGGCGGUCCGCUAAGACAGAUGUGAAAUCCCCGGGCUUAACCUGGGAACUGCAUUUGUGACUGGCGGGCUAGAGUAGGC
rnacentral:rRNA from 1 species